AGUGAACGCUGGCGGCAGGCCUAACACAUGCAAGUCGAACGGCAGCACAGGAGAGCUUGCUCUCUGGGUGGCGAGUGGCGGACGGGUGAGGAUAGCGUCGGAAUCUGCCUAUUUGUGGGGGAUAACCUCGGGAAACCGGGACUAAUACCGCAUACGACCUACGGGUGAAAGCGGAGGACCUUCGGGCUUCGCGCAGCUAGAUGAGCCGACGUCGGAUUAGCUAGUUGGCGGGGUAAUGGCCCACCAAGGCGACGAUCCGUAGCCGGUCUGAGAGGAUGAUCAGCCACACUGGAACUGAGACACGGUCCAGACUCCUACGGGAGGCAGCAGUGGGGAAUAUUGGACAAUGGGCGCAAGCCUGAUCCAGCCAUGCCGCGUGGGUGAAGAAGGCCUUCGGGUUGUAAAGCCCUUUUGUUGGGAAAGAAAAGCAGCCGGUUAAUACCCGGUUGUCAUGACGGUACCCAAAGAAUAAGCACCGGCUAACUUCGUGCCAGCCGCCGCCGUAA
rnacentral:rRNA from 1 species